rnacentral:rRNA from 1 species
ACUCCUACGGGAGGCAGCAGUGGGGAAUUUUGGACAAUGGGCGCAAGCCUGAUCCAGCCAUUCCGCGUGCAGGAUGAAGGCCCUCGGGUUGUAAACUGCUUUUGUACGGAACGAAAAGGUCCUGGUUAAUACCUGGGGCUCAUGACGGUACCGUAAGAAUAAGCACCGGCUAACUACGUGCCAGCAGCCGCGGUAAUAC